rnacentral:rRNA from 1 species
UCGCGGCCUAUCAGCUUGUUGGUGAGGUAAUGGCUCACCAAGGCGUCGACGGGUAGCCGGCCUGAGAGGGUGACCGGCCACACUGGGACUGAGACACGACCCAGACUCCUACGGGAGGCAGCAGUGGGGAAUAUUGCACAAUGGGCGGAAGCCUGAUGCAGCAACGCCGCGUGAGGGAUGACGGCCUUCGGGUUGUAAACCUCUUUUAGCAGGGAAGAAGCGAGAGUGACGGUACCUGCAGAAAAAGCGCCGGCUAACUACGUGCCAGCAGCCGCGGUAAUACGUAGGGCGCAAGCGUUAUCCGGACUUAUUGGGCGUAAAGAGCUCGUAGGCGGUUUGUCGCGUUUGCUGUGAAAUCCCGAGGCUCAACCUCGGGCCUGCAGUGGGUACGGGCAGACUAGAGUGCGCUAGGGGAGAUUGGAAUUCCUGGUGUAGCGGUGGAAUGCGCAGAUAUCAGGAGGAACACCGAUGGCGAAGGCAGAUCUCUGGGCCGUAACUGACGCUGAGGAGCGAAAGGGUGGGGAGCAAACAGGCUUAGAUACCCUGGUAGUCCACCCCGUAAACGUUGGGAACUAGUUGUGGGGACCAUUCCACGGUUUCCGCGACGCAGCUACCGCAUUAAGUCCCCCGCCUGGGGAGUCCGGAAUC